CCAGACUCCUACGGGAGGCAGCAGUGAGGCAUAUUGGUCAAUGGGCGAGAGCCUGAACCAGCCAAGUCGCGUGAGGGAGUACUGCCCUAUGGGUUGUAAACCUCUUUUGUCGGGGAGCAAAAGCCGGACGUGUCCGUCUGUGAGAGUACCCGAAGAAAAAGCAUCGGCUAACUCCGUGCCAGCAGCCGCGGUAAUACGGAGGAUGCGAGCGUUAUCCGGAUUUACUGGGUGUAAAGGGCGUGUAGGCGGGAUGGCAAGUCAGGGGUGAAAACUAUGGGCUCAACCCAUAGCCUGCGUUUGAAACUGUCGUUCUUGAGUGAUGGAGAGGCAAGCGGAAUUCCGUGUGUAGCGGUGAAAUGCGUAGAUAUACGGAGGAACACCAGUGGCGAAGGCGGCUUGCUGGACAUUAACUGACGCUGAGGCGCGAAAGCGUGGGGAGCAAACAGGAUUAGAUACCCCAGUA
rnacentral:rRNA from 1 species